rnacentral:rRNA from 1 species
GACGAACGCUGGCGGCGUGCUUAACACAUGCAAGUCGAACGGAAAUGCCCUGCUUUUGUUGGGUGCUCGAGUGGCGAACGGGUGAGUAACACGAGAGUAACCUGCCCUAGCUUUUGGGAUAACUUCAAGAAACAUGGUAUAAUAUCAGAUAGUAACACUUGCUCCUUGUUGAGUUUUGAAAAGUUUCGGCGCUUGGGGAUGGACUCGCGGCUUAUCAGCUUGUUGGUGGGGUAGUGGCUUACCAAGGCUUUGACGGGUAGCCGGCCUGAGAGGGUGACCGGCCACAUUGGGACUGAGAUCCGGCCCAUCAUCCUACGGGAGGCAGCAGUGGGGAAUAUUGCGAAAAGGGAGGAAGACUGAUGCAGAAACGCCGCGUGCGGGAUGACGGCCUUCGGGUUGUAAACCGCGUUCGCCUUUGACGAAGCGGGAGUGACGGUAAUAGGUAAAGAAGCACCGGCUAACUACGUG